ACGAACGCUGGCGGCGUGCCUAAUACAUGCAAGUAGAACGCUGAAGAGAGGAGCUUGCUCUUCUUGGAUGAGUUGCGAACGGGUGAGUAACGCGUAGGUAACCUGCCUUGUGGCGGGGGAUAACUAUUGGAAACGAUAGCUAAUACCGCAUAACAAUGGAUGACACAUGUCAUUUAUUUGAAAGGGGCAAUUGUUCCACUACAAGAUGGACCUGCGUUGUAUUAGCUAGUAGGUGAGGUAAUGGCUCACCUAGGCGACGAUACAUAGCCGACCUGAGAGGGUGAUCGGCCACACUGGGACUGAGACACGGCCCAGACUCCUACGGGAGGCAGCAGUAGGGAAUCUUCGGCAAUGGGGGCAACCCUGACCGAGCAACGCCGCGUGAGUGAAGAAGGUUUUCGGAUCGUAAAGCUCUGUUGUAAGUCAAGAACGGGUGUGAGAGUGGAAAGUUCACACUGUGACGGUAGCUUACCAGAAAGGGACGGCUAACUACGUGCCAGCAGCCGCGGUAAUACGUAGGUCCCGAGCGUUGUCCGGAUUUAUUGGGCGUAAAGCGAGCGCAGGCGGUUUGAUAAGUCUGAAGUUAAAGGCUGUGGCUCAACCAUAGUUCGCUUUGGAAACUGUCAAACUUGAGUGCAGAAGGGGAGAGUGGAAUUCCAUGUGUAGCGGUGAAAUGCGUAGAUAUAUGGAGGAACACCGGUGGCGAAAGCGGCUCUCUGGUCUGUAACUGACGCUGAGGCUCGAAAGCGUGGGGAGCGAACAGGAUUAGAUACCCUGGUAGUCCACGCCGUAAACGAUGAGUGCUAGGUGUUGGAUCCUUUCCGGGAUUCAGUGCCGCAGCUAACGCAUUAAGCACUCCGCCUGGGGAGUACGACCGCAAGGUUGAAACUCAAAGGAAUUGACGGGGGCCCGCACAAGCGGUGGAGCAUGUGGUUUAAUUCGAAGCAACGCGAAGAACCUUACCAGGUCUUGACAUCCCGAUGCUAUUUCUAGAGAUAGAAAGUUACUUCGGUACAUCGGUGACAGGUGGUGCAUGGUUGUCGUCAGCUCGUGUCGUGAGAUGUUGGGUUAAGUCCCGCAACGAGCGCAACCCCUAUUGUUAGUUGCCAUCAUUCAGUUGGGCACUCUAGCGAGACUGCCGGUAAUAAACCGGAGGAAGGUGGGGAUGACGUCAAAUCAUCAUGCCCCUUAUGACCUGGGCUACACACGUGCUACAAUGGUUGGUACAACGAGUUGCGAGUCGGUGACGGCGAGCUAAUCUCUUAAAGCCAAUCUCAGUUCGGAUUGUAGGCUGCAACUCGCCUACAUGAAGUCGGAAUCGCUAGUAAUCGCGGAUCAGCACGCCGCGGUGAAUACGUUCCCGGGCCUUGUACACACCGCCCGUCACACCACGAGAGUUUGUAACACCCGAAGUCGGUGAGGUAACCUUUUGGAGCCAGCCGCCUAAGGUGGGACAGAUGAUUGGGGUG
rnacentral:rRNA from 1 species